AGUUGCCUGCUGGAAGUUUGUUUUUGCGCUGCAGGAUGGAACUAUUCUCUGUAUCCUGCUUUGAGCACUGCUAUUGGGUGCUGUGAGGGGACCUCAAGUAAGCUCCAUUUUUGAAACAUGAGUCAGAGCCCCGGUGAAGAUUCUGUGAGAGUUCAUUGUAUUGAAUUUAUGAUGAUGAAGAUUGAGUUGCAUUUUGCGGAAAAGAGAUGUUGAGAUACCUAAGGCAUUGAGAAAUCUGUCAUGCAGACAUGCACACAGGGAGAGGGAGUACCCAAAAUGAUGAGAAGUUACAGGAAUUGGACCAUCUAAGCCCUUAGAAAGUGAAGUCCACUGUGUCUCAAACAAAGAUCUUCAUCCACAUCUUGAAGUUUGAAGUUUGGCCAAGAAUAUACAGAGUAGAUUCUCUUUCUCAGGAUGGCAAGUGUUCAUGACAUCAAUACUACCCAAGGCUUCAGAGUCAUUGGAUUGCAGGAUGCAGUAACUUAUGAUGAUGUGCGUGUGAACUUCACUGAGGAAGAGUGGGAUUUGCUGGAUCCUUCCCAGAAAAGUCUCUAUGAAGAGGUGAUGCUGGAGACCUACCAGAACAUCACUGCUAUAGGCUACAAUUUGGAAGACCAUCAUAUUGAAGAACAUAGUCAAAGUUCUAGAAGACAUGAAAGGUAAUUUUUAUGUGCAAGCUGAUACAAAUAUGCCUCUGAGGAAAUUUUAGUAUGUCCUGGAAUCUCUAAAGAAAAACAAGAGUGUAAAAUAUCAGUCCUUUAAGUGUAGCUAUGAUUAUAAUAUUUUCACUGAUCCAUGUACCUCAAUGUCAGUUACCUGGCUCAUGUUUACAGGCAUUCCUCUAAUAAAAAAAGACGAGGAAACAGUAA
rnacentral:lncRNA from 1 species